rnacentral:rRNA from 1 species
UACGUAGGGUGCGAGCGUUAAUCGGAAUUACUGGGCGUAAAGCGUGCGCAGGCGGCUUCGCAAGUCAGACGUGAAAUCCCCCGGGCUUAACCUGGGAAUGGCGUUUGAAACUACGGAGCUGGAGUGUGGCAGAGGGAGGUAGAAUUCCACGUGUAGCGGUGAAAUGCGUAGAUAUGCGGAGGAACACCGAUGGCGAAGGCAAUCCCCUGGGCCUGCACUGACGCUCAUGCACGAAAGCGUGGGGAG